rnacentral:rRNA from 1 species
UACGUAGGGGGCAAGCGUUGUCCGGAAUCAUUGGCGUAAAGAGCGUGUAGGCGGCCAGAUAAGUCCGCUGUGAAAUCUCGAGGCUCAACUUCGAGCUGUCGGUGGAAACUGUCUGGCUAGAGUCCGGAAGAGGAGAAUGGAAUUCCUGGUGUAGCGGUGAAAUGCGCAGAUAUCAGGAAGAACACCCGUGGCGAAGGCGGUUCUCUGGGACGGUACUGACGCUGAGGAGCGAAAGCGUGGGGAGCGAACAGG